rnacentral:rRNA from 1 species
GUCGUGAGGCAUGCUGGAGGUAUCAGAAGUGCGAAUGCUGACAUAAGUAACGAUAAAGCGGGUGAAAAGCCCGCUCGCCGGAAGACCAAGGGUUCCUGUCCAACGUUAAUCGGGGCAGGGUGAGUCGACCCCUAAGGCGAGGCCGAAAGGCGUAGUCGAUGGGAAACGGGUUAAUAUUCCCGUACUUGGUGUUACUGCGAAGGGGGGACGGAGAAGGCUAUGUUGGCCGGGCGACGGUUGUCCCGGUUUAAGCGUGUAGGUGUGUGUUCCAGGUAAAUCCGGUUCACUUUAACACUGAGGCGUGACGACGAGGCACUACGGUGCUGAAGCAACAAAUGCCCUGCUUCCAGGAAAAGCCUCUAAGCAUCAGGUAACAUCAAAUCGUACCCCAAACCGACACAGGUGGUCAGGUAGAGAAUACCAAGGCGCUUGAGAGAACUCGGGUGAAGGAACUAGGCAAAAUGGUGCCGUAACUUCGGGAGAAGGCACGCUGACAUGUAGGUGAAGUGAUUUACUCAUGGAGCUGAAGUCAGUCGAAGAUACCAGCUGGCUGCAACUGUUUAUUAAAAACACAGCACUGUGCAAACACGAAAGUGGACGUAUACGGUGUGACGCCUGCCCGGUGCCGGAAGGUUAAUUGAUGGGGUCAGCGCAAGCGAAGCUCCUGAUCGAAGCCCCGGUAAACGGCGGCCGUAACUAUAACGGUCCUAAGGUAGCGAAAUUCCUUGUCGGGUAAGUUCCGACCUGCACGAAUGGCGUAAUGAUGGCCAGGCUGUCUCCACCCGAGACUCAGUGAAAUUGAACUCGCUGUGAAGAUGCAGUGUACCCGCGGCAAGACGGAAAGACCCCGUGAACCUUUACUAUAGCUUGACACUGAACAUUGAGCCUUGAUGUGUAGGAUAGGUGGGAGGCUUUGAAGUGUGGACGCCAGUCUGCAUGGAGCCGACCUUGAAAUACCACCCUUUAAUGUUUGA